rnacentral:rRNA from 1 species
CCUACGGGAGGCAGCAGUGAGGAAUAUUGGUCAAUGGACGAGAGUCUGAACCAGCCAAGUAGCGUGAAGGAUGACUGCCCUAUGGGUUGUAAACUUCUUUUAUAUGGGAAUAAAAUGUUCCACGUGUGGGAUUUUGUAUGUACCAUAUGAAUAAGGAUCGGCUAACUCCGUGCCAGCAGCCGCGGUAAUACGGAGGAUCCGAGCGUUAUCCGGAUUUAUUGGGUUUAAAGGGAGCGUAGGUGGAUUGUUAAGUCAGUUGUGAAAGUUUGCGGCUCAACCGUAAAAUUGCAGUUGAAACUGGCAGUCUUGAGUACAGUAGAGGUGGGCGGAAUUCGUGAUGUAGCGGUGAAAUGCUUAGAUAUCACGAAGAACUCCGAUUGCGAAGGCAGUUCACUGGACUGCAACUGACACUGAGGCUCGAAAGUGUGGGUAUCAAACAGGAUUAGAUACCCCAGUAGUC